rfam:Bhargavaea cecembensis DSE10 contig000028, whole genome shotgun sequence.
CCGUGCUAGGUGGGAAGGUAGCGGUGUCCUGUAACCCGCAAUCCGCUCCAGCGGGACUGAAUCCCUUUCCGAGGCCGCUUGUCAUGCAAGGCCUGCCUUCUGCACGUAGUGAAGACGUUUGGGUCCUGCGCAAUGGGACCCCACGAACCAUGUCAGGUCCGGAAGGAAGCAGCAUUAAGUGGGUAAACCCAUGUGCCGCGGGGCAGCCUAAACCGAGCCAACGACAGGAGUAACGCUUGUGUGCAUCGGUCGAAGAAAGGUGCACGG